CCUCCCCGGCCGCGGGAUGCACAGGGCUCGUCUCCUCAAAGACCUUCUGCUCACGUGGUGUGCACCUGGGGCACCUCUUCAGUGUCGCAGGUGUAUAAACUGAGCCAACAUAGGUCAGCUCCCAACAUCUGAUCAGGCCCUCUUUUGGAGAAGACCCACGGGGCCCGCUUUUCCAGUUGACUAACCAGCCUGCUCCCUCACCUCUGACCUGAGUACCGCCCUUCGCUGUUCUGACCUUUAGCGGCCAUGGCAGAGCAGCUCGUCACCUGCUCUACCCCACAUAGCUCCUUCCACGCUCCCCACUCCAUCCCCCAACCUGCUUAAACACAGACACAGAAGAGGUACUGAAGAAGUCCUGUGCAAAUAGGAGCUUUAAAAAAGCUGAGCAGUUCAAUCAAGAACUAAUCCAAACCAUCACAGGGGUGCAUUUGUGCGGCGGCCAGAUCAGAGCCAACACUAACAUCCUUGGCUCCCUUGGAUUCUGUCUGCAGAAUGUGCUUACCAGGCUGGGAGACAUGGGCCCGUCUCAGAUCACGAGCUGGCAUGCCCUGGUUGCCCAUGGCAACCCAGCUGCGCUGGAGCGUUAGCAUUUGUAAAUGUGUGUGGGCUUAAAAUUAUAUUAUUGAUUCUGUCUGGAAGAUGAUAGUCUGAUUUGUAUAUAGCUCUGAAUAAAUUACUCAUUAUCCUUUACAGCCA